rnacentral:lncRNA from 1 species
UUUUGAGUACCCCAGCUUUACAGACGGAAGUGUACUAUAGAGGCUAGAAGCUCCGCAGAGCUCAGAUUCUGAAGCCAGACCAAACUUCAUUAUAUCCUCGGGCUACUUGCUAACAUUUAAAACCUUGACUUUCAACAAUGUCUCCUUCUCAGCAACAAAUUGCCCAAAAUACCCCCUGUGCAAAAUAACUAUGGGUGAAAUUCCAAACUCAUUUUACCUCUGGAUCCUUCUUAUUUGUUUUGAUUUAUGGUAGAGGUAACUAAUGAUAUGUACCUCACAGAAUUAUUGAGAAAGUAAAUAAGAAUAUCUUUGUCAAGCCCUUAACAGAGUCUAGCAUCGGGCAAAGACUCUUUCAUGGAUGUGUUUCUGUUUCUCCCCCUGGAAAUAGGCAAGAAGUCCUCCUACUCAAUACAUGUCACUAGUUGGAGCAGUGGGUCAUGGCCAGAAGUGUGUCUUCAGUGGGUUGAAUUGAUUAAUGCAAGUUCCUUGAAGGAGGAAAAAAUCUCUCCACUGAUCAGCUUGUUUUUUCUAAAUCGCAUCCUAUGGGAACCAGCAUCAAAGUUGACAAAAAAUAAAAAGAAAAAAAGAAAGCUGCCAGGAUCUUACCCAAAUAAAUACAUUUGGAAAAGAAUCCAUCUCUCUGCUUAUGUGAAAAUAAUGAAAAGAUGUACAGGGGUGACACAUUUCAGGAAUAAAUUUGAAGAGAAUUGUUUCCUACAAUUUCACAAAAGGACCUUAGGGAAGGAGAGCCUAUUCAGUAAUUAAGAUCGCUUGUCACCCUUGCACAUUGGCAGAUCUAUGGAGAUGUCACUUCAGGGAAUUUGAUGACUGCUCUCCCAUGGGAACACUUCGCUUUGGGGAAUCUGAAGCUUUACUUAAAGAGGUCAUUUGCUCCAUAGAUUCGAAGAGUGAUUACAGGAGUGACAGGUUUUCUUGUUAUUGCAAGACAUGUGGCACACCUUUCAUUUAUUCGCAUAUCAAGCCAAGUUGGAUUUGUUCUGUGGAUGUAGGUAUACUUUAAAUGUUUCAGAAUGAGGAUUUCAGAUAAUUUUUAAAUAUACAAAAGAAGGGAAUGGAAACUGGUGCUAUUUUUAUGUUCUCUGAAUCUAGUCAUCAGUCCUGCAUAUGGUUAACAUGGUAUAGAGGACAAGAGGAGGCAACUUCCUGGUCAGUAAGUGUACCUAUUUGAGACGUGCUGUGGGGUCUCUCACUGGAGAGUGUGAGACUGGGGAUCAGAUGCCAAAAUUACCUGUUCGGUCAUGUGAAGACAGACCACAGAAAUGAAUUAUAAGAUGUGGCAUCGAAGAGGGCUUGGUGAACCAGGAAAGGGAAGCAAGUGCUAGUGGCCAGAGCAGAUGACUGGGAGAUGAUCAGCUUACCUUCCUGAGGUUGAGGAUGUGAACGGGAAACGUCUUCAAUUAGGUUUGUGUGGGUAACCAAGAUGCACAUAGCAGGCGGCCUGGCGUAUUGUCAGAGAGAGAUAUUUUCUUCGCCUUCUCUUUUCUCAUCCGUUUUACUGAAAAGGGAAAUACAUGAUAGAAUGGUAUUGCAGGGGGAUCAGAACAUCACUCUUGGAAUCGCACAGGCUCAGGAUCAAUGCAAGCUCCGCAAUUUAGCACCUUGGAAAAUGUACUUAGUCACUCUUUAGUUUCUUCAUUUCCAAAAGAAUGAUUAAAAAUCGCAGUUACCUUCAAAGAUUACUGAGAAAGUAAAUAAAUAAUGUUUUCUAAGUACUUACUACA